rnacentral:rRNA from 1 species
AACGAACGCUGGCGGCAGGCCUAACACAUGCAAGUCGAGGGGGAAGCCACUUUCGGGUGGUGGAGACCGGCGCACGGGUGAGUAACGCGUGGACACCUGCCCUGGGGUGGGGAUAACCGCUGGAAACGGCGGCUAAUACCGCAUACGCCCUAUUCCUGUAGAGGGGAUGGGGGAAAGAUUUAUUGCCCUGGGAUGGGCCCGCGUUGGAUUAGCUUGUUGGUGGGUAAAGGCCUACCAAGGCGACGAUCCAUAGCUGGUCUGAGAGGAUGAUCAGCCACACUGGGACUGAGACACGGCCCAGACUCCUACGGGAGGCAGCAGUGGGGAAUAUUGGACAAUGGGGCAACCCUGAUCCAGCCAUGCCGCGUGCGUGAAGAAGGCUUUAGGGUUGUAAAGCGCUUUCACCGGUGACGAUGAUGACGGUAGCCGGAGAAGAAGCCCCGGCUAACUCCGUG